CCGUCAAGGCCUUAAACAUGCCCACGAUGGCCGCCGCUGCUACAGGAGACAACCCGGAGGCCGUGAGGGCCCCCAGGCCUGCCUCCAAAGCUUGGUCUAAGUUAGAUGGGCCAGAGCUCACUGCACCCGCCUGUCCUGUAACCAUAACAGUACCAAGGCCGGCGGGUGCAGGUUCAGGGGGUGGGGGGUUAUUUAUUAUAACAUUGGGGGUUAACACAGGCAAUACUGGCCUUGCUUCCGCCGGAGUCGGUGGCACCACAUCCUCAUCUUCCUCCUCUAUUACAGGUGCACUCCUCAAGGAUCUCCCAGUGGACUCCCUGAAGCGAAUGGGCACCGCAGCACUUCUCUUUGAUCUAGACAUUUUCACUUGAAGAAUGGCAAAACUUUCUCCUUGCAAAAUCCCAGGUGGAAGAGGCCAGAUUGUUCCAGAACUUCCUUUAUAUUAGGUAUUAUGAUUGCAGGGCCAUUGUAAAAAAGAAGCUGUCAUUGAUACACUCCACAAAGAGAGUGCGUUUCAACAGUUGGGAGAUGGAGGUGCGGGACAAGCUUCUUGAAGAGUCUGUUGGUGACGGAAGCUCAAGUAGGAGAGACGAAUCUGUCAGGCAAAAGAGAGCUGAUCACCGAAAAUACUCUGCAGGGUGAUCAGCCCCAAGCACGCCUCAGCCUAGUUCUGAUCCCUGAAAAUACUCUGCAGGGCGAUCAGCCCCAAGCACGUCUCAGCCUAGUUCUGGUGUGUUAGUAACUCGGAUUCAGAUCCCACCAGUAGCAGCCUCUGGAAGUGGAGAGAUGCCCACUACUCCUCCACAACUACGAGGCAUGUCUGCAGGGGGAAGCCAUAGCAGUCAACUGCAUUCACCUGCUCUUAGUGUAGAGGAAAGUCCUGUAGUAAUUAUUCAACAAACAUGCUUCACACCAUCGUCACCUGUCAGCGUUGUCCAACCAUCAACAGAAGAUCAUGCCCCCAUUGUGGAUGAGCAGACAGCCCAGAAUCAACCUCCUCAACUGGAACAAGACAAGCCGACAGAACCGGAAACACAACAUCGGUAUAGCCGGACUGAAGAAUUACUUCUGGAAAAUUUACUGGCAACAAAAAAAUUGACAAAAGCGGUCAACAAUAUGAGAAAGGAUUUACAUAGACACAUAGACAAUAAUUUUGGAUAACAGUCUCCAAAACUCCCACUAACUAAUAAAAAAAUUGGCUUAACUCGAA